rnacentral:rRNA from 1 species
UACGAAGGGGGCUAGCGUUGCUCGGAAUCACUGGGCGUAAAGGGUGCGUAGGCGGGUCUUUAAGUCAGGGGUGAAAUCCUGGAGCUCAACUCCAGAACUGCCUUUGAUACUGAAGAUCUUGAGUUCGGGAGAGGUGAGUGGAACUGCGAGUGUAGAGGUGAAAUUCGUAGAUAUUGGGAAGAACACCGGUGGCGAAGGCGGCUCACUGGCUCAUUACUGACGCUCAGGCGCGACAGCGUGGGGAUCAAACAGG